GUGCUUGUUUCAACAGCACAGAUACUAAAAUUGGAAAGAUACAGAGAUUAGCAUGGCCCCUGUGCAAGGAUGACAUGCAAAUCCGUGAAGUGUUCCAUAUUUCU
ensembl:snRNA U6 U6 spliceosomal RNA